rnacentral:rRNA from 1 species
UGCGCAGGCGGGCUUGUAAGUCAGUGGUGAAAUACUGCCGCUCAACGGUAGAACUGCCAUUGAUACUGCAAGUCUUGAGUAUGGUUGAGGUAGGCGGAAUGUGUCGUGUAGCGGUGAAAUGCAUAGAUAUGACACAGAACGCCGAUUGCGAAGGCAGCUUACUAAGCCAUUACUGACGCUGAGGCACGAAAGCGUGGGGAGCGAACAGGAUUAGAUACCCUGGUAGUC